UGUGUGUGUGUGUGUGUGUGUGUGUGUGUGUGUGUGUGUGUGCGCGCGCGCGUGCAUGCAUGCACACACACACGCAUGCGCGCUCUUUCAG
rnacentral:miRNA from 1 species